UUUACGCUUAGUCCUCUGCCUUACAAGCAGAGGGUCAGCGGUUCGAGCCCGUUAACUUCCACCA
rnacentral:tRNA from 1 species